AUAACUUCGAAUGUUCGGCGAGUCACUUUUCUUCAAUCGGGUUGUUGUGCUUUGAACUCCCACUCCCGGUUCCCCGAACCCUCGAAUCCGCCGGUUAUAUUAAACGAGUUAUAGAUUAAAAAAUACACACUCGAAACUAGUAACUUUGCAACGAGUACCUCGUACCUAGGAUCUCGGUGUUAUUGUUUGUACUUGUGUUUUUUUUUAAACCGCCGCGGCCGCUUGUCGAUUAAUCGACGUGACGGACCGACGGCUGCGCCGGAACAAUUAAUGAAAUACUCUUUAUUGCCUUUACGGGUGUCCCCUUAUACAGCGACGGUUUCCUAACGGGAGCCCGAUGACGACUAAAAAUCCGAGAUUUCUGCGCGGUAUCUCCGCCAUUAUUACGCACUCUAUACGCCACCACAUUCCUACGGCAUUUCAGCGAUCCCGGCGACGGCGGUUCCGUGUACUCGACAUUUCCUCGAGAUAUUUGACAUUUUCCUUGGGGUUUGUGCGCAGCGAAAUUUCUGUUCUGUAACGACUCAAAAUAGGCAACGACAUUGUUUACUACGCGUGUGUUAUCCUGUGCUGUCCGCAAUAUCAACGGAUGCGAGUUUCACACAAUUGUUAAUUGAUUUCAAUGCGUCGCCGCGUACGUUUGAUUCGGAAGUUAAAUUGUCAUUAUAAACCGAUUUACCUUUUAUGUAUUUACAUCAGCCGAGUAAAAUAUGUUUACUUUUUAGGUAGGUACU